rnacentral:rRNA from 1 species
CCUAUAAGACUGGGAUAACUUCGGGAAACCGGGGCUAAUGCCGGAUAAUAUUUAGAACCGCAUGGCUCUAAAGUGAAAGAUGGUUUUGCUAUCACUUAUAGAUGGACCCGCGCCGUAUUAGCUAGUUGGUGGGGUAAUGGCUCACCAAGGCAACGAUACGUAGCCGACCUGAGAGGGUGAUCGGCCACACUGGAACUGAGACACGGUCCAGACUCCUACGGGAGGCAGCAGUAGGGAAUCUUCCGCAAUGGGCGAAAGCCUGACGGAGCAACGCCGCGUGAGUGAUGAAGGUCUUCGGAUCGUAAAACUCUGUUAUUAGGGAAGAACAAAUGUGUAAGUAACUGUGCACGUCUUGACGGUACCUAAUCAGAAAGCCACGGCUAACUACGUGCCAGCAGCCGCGGUAAUACGUAGGUGGCAAGCGUUAUCCGGAAUUAUUGGGCGUAAAGCGCGCGUAGGCGGUUUCUUAAGUCUGAUGUGAAAGCCCACGGCUCAACCGUGGAGGGUCAUUGGAAACUGGGAAACUUGAGUACAGAAGAGGAAAGUGGAAUUCCAUGUGUAGCGGUGAAAUGCGCAGAGAUAUGGAGGAACACCAGUGGCGAAGGCGACUUUCUGGUCUGUAACUGACGCUGAUGUGCGAAAGCGUGGGGAUCAAACAGGAUUAGAUACCCUGGUAGUCCACGCCGUAAACGAUGAGUGCUAAGUGUUAGGGGGUUUCCGCCCCUU